rnacentral:rRNA from 1 species
GACGAACGCUGGCGGCGUGCUUAACACAUGCAAGUCGAACGGAAAGGCCCUGCUUUUGUGGGGUGCUCGAGUGGCGAACGGGUGAGUAACACGUGAGUAACCUGCCCUUGACUUUGGGAUAACUUCAGGAAACUGGGGCUAAUACCGGAUAGGAGCUCCUGCUGCAUGGUGGGGGUUGGAAAGUUUCGGCGGUUGGGGAUGGACUCGCGGCUUAUCAGCUUGUUGGUGGGGUAGUGGCUUACCAAGGCUUUGACGGGUAGCCGGCCUGAGAGGGUGACCGGCCACAUUGGGACUGUGAUACGGCCCAGACUCCUACGGGAGGCAGCAGUGGGGAAUAUUGCACAAUGGGCGGAAGCCUGAUGCAGCAACGCCGCGUGCGGGAUGACGGCCUUCGGGUUGUAAACCGCUUUCGCCUGUGACGAAGCGUGAGUGACGGUAAUGGGUAAAGAAGCACCGGCUAACUACGU